rnacentral:tRNA from 1 species
GGACGCAUAGCUCAGCUGGUUAGAGCGCUUGCUUCACACGCAAGAGGUCAACGGUUCGAGUCCGUUUGUGUCCACCA